AUGUCCAGAGGAAGAACUAAAGCUAAAGACUCCAAAGCGACAGAGACAUCCCGGCAGCUGGAAGGGCACAGCCCCUCGCCCCGCGCUCUCUCAGCAGUUGCAGAAUCGGGAGAGCAGCCCCCGAGGCGGAGCCUCCCUUCUGCCCUGGUUACCGCUGCCCCCACCUGGGGGAGAGAGGCCGGCGCCGUGCUGCCUCCCUCAGCGCCCCGGCCGCGUGGCUUGCGGCUUAUUUUCCCAGCUGGCAAGCGUCGCGCUGCAGACAAGGGAAUGCCUGUGGUGAGUUGUUUAUUUUGUUGAAGUUUGCGGUGGGCCAGGGGGACGUGGGGGGCGAGCAGCAGGCAGCGGCCGGGACUAUUUUGUUUAGGUCUCGGUCCACCUGUGUGGUAUAAAUCUGCCAGUCUCAGGGCGGCGGGGGGCCAGGGUGUGAAAAUCCCAACUCUGCAAAAGGCCCCUCCUUGCCACUUGCAGACCUAGAACCACAUUUGAUUCUCCACUCUUAGAAUCAUCUAGAUCCCAGCUAUCACUAUCCCCAUGCCCCUGAUCAGUGCUUCCAGCACCGGUUGCAAACAGGGCUUGCGCUCCAAAGGAGAGUUAACGCCCACCGCCCAGAGACAGCUGGCUAUUGAAAUUCUUCCCGGAUACCCUUCCCGGUUCCUUGAGGAUAGUGGAGUUGAGGAUUUGAUAUGAGGGGCGAUCGUGAAAUUACUGGAAACUUGUUUUAGUUGUUUCUGGUAUGAAGUCGGUUCAGAGGUGUCAGGUCUGCCCUUUACUACAAACUAGGAUUUGGGUUGGCCAGAGUUUCCCCGACUUGAGGCCGGGGCGAGUAAGCAGUCGGCUCCCAGGGGAACCCAGAGGAACCCCCGGGGCUGAUAGCAGUCGCGGCACCGGCUGCGUUUGCCUGGAAGAAAAGCCUAAAUACAUUAGCGAGCUGGUAAAGCUUUUAGGGCCUUCUCGGGAGUGAGUGGCUGGCUAAUGAGAGGUUAAUUUUGUUUGGAAGGGAAGGCUGCGCUGGUUUCCUGAGAUAAAUGGACAGGAAGCGCAUUACCUCCGCGCGCUGGCAAGCGACUCCCAAAUGCUUUUUGCACCUGCCGUUUUGAGCGGUGCGAGCCACAGAGAAGCCUGCAGGGAUAACUGGGGCCCGUUGUGUACGCUCGGGCGAUGAGCUCUACGCUCACUCCGGGCCCUCUCUUUCUGGGGGCUCAGCGCUCACCCCCAGCUCUGGGACUCUUCUCUCACACCCAGGUCCUGUGCGUUACGGAACUCAGACACCCCUCGAUACUGCCAAGUCCUCUCCAGGAGCGGAAGGGUUAAGAAUGAUGUAAGUACAAUCCACUAGCUGCUUGCUGCUGGGCUGUCGGACUCGAGCUACUUCAGCCCCUGCUUUGCGUACGGUGGGCUGGGGAGCAGCGAGGGAGACUUUACUCUAGAAUGGGUUGCACAAAUCUCAAUCCCGGGUGCGAUUCUUGGCUCCUCUGACCCCGGUGAUCUGUUAAGAGACCGACGUGUUAGAUUUCUGGAAAUGGAGAUUCUGUAUAUUAACAGGAAUUCAACUAAGAUAUCACAUAAAGGUUCAGGAAAGGAAACCACAUCUUGUUUACGAUCCAUUAAUGUUGCUGGCAUGUGUUUUAAUUCUGUCCAUUUGGCAUGUUCGUACCAUGGGAUGUUUUGCAAUGUCCUCUAAUUGUACUAUUCUGGUCUCAUCUUUUCUUCCUGAAAACAAAGAUGAAGAAAGAAAGAGUACAAGUGGUAAGAAACAGGGUGGAUUUUUGAGUUGCGCAAGCUGUCACUUAACGAUUUUUUUCUGAUUAAAAUAUAAAAACUUUUAUAAGUAAUCGAUUUUAUAUUUGUGUUCUACCUCCGCUCCCCAGAUUUUUCCUUGUAGAGUCUUAAAAUCCUCCUUAAUUUUCAGCACACUAGCUGGCAGAGUGAAUGCACUGUAAGCGACCAUUCACCGAGUUCUUGCUUUCCAAGCGAUUUGGAAUCUUGCUAACAGUCCGAAUUUACCCCGAGAGUGUGUCAACUAACCUAAUGUCUUGAAAAUAGGAACCACCUUGCGGUUUAAUUGUGAAAAUUAACAUUUUCCUCUAACAUACUGAACACUUAUGCAGCAAUAAAAAGUGAAUUGUUAGGCUUAUAAAUCUUGAACUUGUCAAAUUUUACAACAGACGAGCAAUAAAGCACCUUAGAAGAAAUGAAGUUUUUCCUCUAGAGAACAAGUUCCAUUUCAGGACACUAGGAUUUGCAGUGACUCGAGGGUGCCCUCUAUUGAUAAAAUCUUAGAAAAGUUUUGUACUUAAGGAAUAGGAUGUAGAAGAAAGACGAUGAAAAGGGGGACAAUCAGAAAAUCAGGAGGGAAAAGACUCAAACUAUAUUAAACUUGAUCCUUAACUCUUACUUACAUGUCUUAAAAUAUGGUCCAAAGAAUGAGAUUCUUCUUUCAUAGGGGCCUAAUUAAAUCUUGGACUAAGGAAGAAGAAACACCUUACUGUUAGUCUUUGUUAGCAAAAUACUAUGAAAUAGUGUUCACAUUUGAUUACUUCUAAAAAGAAAAUUACCAGUAUUUCAUUAACCUUAGUUCAUUUGUAAUAUGUAGUAAUUGCAAGAGUAUAAAUUUUUGGUCUAACAGCAUUUACUCCACAGUAUCAUCUAAAAAUCAUAUCAGAUAACUCCCCCAAAAAUUUCUCCAGGCAACUCUGAAGCUACUGUUAAGCAUAUUAUGGAUAUGCACAAAAUUUAGGUUAUAUCUUGGGCAGUGAAAGGUGUGUUUACCACUUGAGUCAUCACGGUAUGUAAUAAGUAAGAAAUGAAAAGUUGCAGUAAAAAUAGAUGGGCAUCCUUCAUUAGGGACCUAGUGGUUUGUACAAUUCAGAAUGUGUCUAAUGAGUAACCUGGAGCGAUGGAAGGUUUGCCUUCAAUUAUCCUGGUCCAUUGAUUAGCACUUUGUAACAUAUGGAAUAUUAACGUGUCUGUAGUUGAUAGGAAAUUCCUAAUUAGAGAUUGUGAGUAAUGUAGCAGGUAGAGUUGCAGACUGGGGCUUGGAUGUAAGUGAGGAUGCCCUGAGCCGUUUGGGGAAGAGCAAAGACAAGGGCACUAUGAAGUGGCUCCCGGCCUUUGAAGCUGUUCUUGAGAUUAGAUACCACUUCACACCUGCAGAUAACAAAUUGGAAGCUGUCACCAACUUCACAACAUGCUUUCCUCUGUCUCCACUGGCAACCUCUUUUCUGACAAUUGGUUUCCCCCUCAUUUUUGGAUCUCAUCCAAUCGCAAAAGUAGAAACUGACCUGCCAUUGAAUUUAUCUGCUAAUAGACGGUGAAAAUUUGUGGAAAAGCCACUGAGCAACAACAAAUCAUGGCAUAAUUACUCUACACUGCCAUUAAAAACUAUCCUCAUUAAUUUAAUUACACUGUAACCGAACACGUUAAAGUUCGCCCACUCUCAGACCCCCUCCCCCACUGCUUUCAGGAGGGGAAAUGUCGAAGGAACAGGAACAUCCGAGCCUCGCAGAGCUGCCAGCGAAUUACGCCGGGAGCGGGCAAGUACCUUCCCAGCCCAUCUGAUCUGCUCUGGACCGCGCGAGUCACAUUGGGAUUUCCAACGCAACUGGGUGCUAGCUUUACUAAAGGUCCCCAACAGGCUCGGAACGCGGUUCCCAGAUGUGAUUGGCUGCGAAGGGACCCGCCGCCCGGGCGGCGAAGGGCCCCGCCGCACGGCUCUGAGUAAAAGGGCGGCUUGAGCUGGAGGGCCGGGGGCCGGGGGAGGGGAUGAUUAAAAAAAAAAAAAUUAGUAAAAAGUCUUGGGAGGAAUUUGAACCUGAUCACAUUAAUUCAAGGAGAGCUCAAAGGCCAGUUUCUUUACAACGAAGGCUAGAGAGAGUUCUAGUCGGAACUGUUUCUAUCGGAAAUCGCAGAGGGGGUGGAGAGGAGGAGAGUUGAGGAGGGAGCGGGAGAGAGGCUUGGUCCCGGCGAAACAGGACUAGCAGCCGGCAGACGCGGAACUCGAAUUACGCUGGGCUGGCUGGCCGCAGGAGGAGGUGUGGGGGGCGGGCUCUUUGGGCCCUACGACUGGCCGGCUGAGGCCAAAGCACCCGCCUCUCAGCCCAUGGAGCCGGAGGGGGGGGCG
rnacentral:lncRNA from 1 species